rnacentral:lncRNA from 1 species
AUUUGUUUAUUUAGCAGUACUCACACAAACCUUUUUUUGCUAUUUAUUGCGGAAUCUAUGGUUCCUUUUUUUCUAGGCUUAAUUGAUCUGCCGAUCCCUUAACUUAUUUCUUUUAUUCAAUUUGGUCUCAUAAGUGUUAAGUUUCUCAAACACGUCCCUUAACUUAUUUCUUUUAUUCAAUUUGGUUCAAUUUUGAUAAUUUUAAUCCCUAAAAAAUGACACCGUUGGAUUACGGAGGUCCAUCAGAGUUUAUAGUGUAUCACCAACACCUAAUUUAUUCACUUUCUUCUUCUUCAUCACUAAAUCCAGCAAAUAUCACCAUCUUCAUCGUAAAAAAUCCAGAAAAAUUAAAAAAUUAAACAAUUCAUUCAUCACUUCUUAGGUAAACCGUUAUUUGUCAAAACAGAAGCUUUGUAAUAACAGGUGUUCUUCAUAAAAUAAAAAUAAUAAUCAACAAUUUCAAGGUGCCGUUUUGGUUCAUCGGUGGUGCUCCGAUGAUGGUCCUUAUUUUAUUCUCUCCGUUUUCACUUGUUUUUCUCCGUUAAGCAAGGUUCCGACUCUAUCUCUCUUCAAGAUCUUGCUUUCUCUGGCGCGGUCUUGUUCGAUUCUACUGGCUCGAAGCUCGUGGAGCUCUUUCUUUGAUUUUGGUGUUCUGGGUGUGGUUCUCUCAAACCUGGUACUAUGAGUUUUGUCUCUCCGGUGAGGUUUUGUUGGUUCCUCUUGAUUUGAAAUUUGUGCAGGUUUCAUGAAGGUCAAUUCUUGGUGAUUCGACGACAUUCUAGGUGUUGUUCAUUCAUCUUUGGUGUUAUGGACUUUGCUUCUAUAGCGAGAUUCCGUUCGUACCUCUUGAUUUGAAGUUGGUCACGAUUGUUUUGAAGUUACUCCAGGCCUGCGAUUUCCUUGUUGAAGUUAAUUUGUUGUUGGAUAUGGUUUGUCUGUGGAAAUUUCUUGAGCCACCGAAGGAGGUGACGCCGGAAAACCCCGCCUUAAAGUCAAUUUGGUUUACAGUACUUACAAUAGUCAAUUCCAUCACGUAUGUACGAUGUUAAUGAUGAGUUUAGUUGUUAUAAUGUUUUGAUCUUUUGAGAUGUUUUUUUUUUUUUUUUUGAGAAAAUCUUUUGAGAUGUUGUUAAAGAGAGAAGAUGAAGUUUAUUGUUUUUACUGAGUUUUAUUGAUGAAUAUUGAUGAAGAUGAGGGAAGAAGAAGAAGAAGAAAGUAAAUAAAUUCGAUAGACCUUCGUAACGGUUUCUUUUUUUUUUUGGAUUAAAAUCAUCAAAAUUUGCCCAAAUUGAAUAAAAAAAAAAUUAAGGGAC